GCGUCAACUUUCUCAGUAAGGCUCAUUGUAUUUAGCAAUACUAUUUCAUAGCUGUAUGAAGUAAUGAAUGGCAUUAACUGGAUCAUGGGAACAAAACACCAUCAAUUCCAGCCAAUGACAUUCAUAUUUCUUAGGCAAGGCAUUCAGGAAUUUCCUUCUAUUUCCUAAACAAGUGCUCAGAUGGGCGGCCAAGAUGAUUUGAAUGCAGAACCUGAAAGUAAUUUCUGACAAAAUAGAGAUGAUGCAUUGCUGCUGGUGGAAUUUCCAUUUGAUGGUAAAUACGGAUCUUUAUUUCAUCUGGAGUUGGCAGAUUCUACAUUGCACAGGAAUCUGAAGCUUCAGAAAGGAUCAAGAGUUUUUAAACUUGGAGUCAGCAGUAAACAAGAUGGGAGGAAGAAAAAAAAAACAGUAUAGUGCUGCACAGACCAGGAGGCAUCAAUAGAGGGGUCAAGCUGGUGGGUGAGAUAAUGUAACUGAACCCAUGUACAUUUUAAUGUGUUGCAUGUAUCACAUAUACUGUAUAAUAAAGAGGAGUAAGAAUG